GAUGAACGCUGGCGGCGUGCCUAAUACAUGCAAGUCGAGCGAACAGAUAAGGAGCUUGCUCCUUUGACGUUAGCGGCGGACGGGUGAGUAACACGUGGGUAACCUACCUAUAAGACUGGAAUAACUCCGGGAAACCGGGGCUAAUGCCGGAUAACAUUUAGAACCGCAUGGUUCUAAAGAGAAAGAUGGCUUUGCUAUCACGUAUAGAUGGACCCGCGCCGUAUUAGCUAGUUGGUAAGGUAACGGCUUACCAAGGCAACGAUACGUAGCCGACCGGAGAGGGGGAUCGGCCACACUGGAGCUGAGACACGGUCCAGGGUCCUACGGGAGGCAGCAGUAGGGAACCUUCCGCAACGGGCGAAAGCCUGACGGAGCAACGCCGCGUGAGUGAUGAAGGUCUUCGGAUCGUAAAACUCUGUUAUUAGGGAAGAACAAAUGUGUAAGGAACUGUGCACGUCUUGACGGUACCUAAUCAGAAAGCAACGGCUAACUACGUG
rnacentral:rRNA from 1 species